ACCAACUACUUCCCAGAGCCAGUGACGGUGUCGUGGAACUCUGGAGAACUGUCUGGUGCACACACCUUCCCGGCCAUCCUGCAGUCGUCUGGCCUGUACUCCCUCAGUAGUAUGGUGACCGUGCCCGCCAGCGACUGGACCAGCCAGACCUACAUCUGCAACGUCGCCCACUCAGCCAGCAACACCAAGGUGGACAAGAAGAUCGUGGAACGCGUCACUGUCCCCAAGACACCUGAAUGCCCCGAAUGCAAGUGCCCAGCUCCUGAAUGCCCGGGAGGACCUUCCAUCUUCAUCUUCCCCCCCAAGGCCAAGGACAUCCUCAUGACCUCCCGAACCCCUGAGGUGACAUGCGUGGUGGUAAGCGUAGGCCAGGACCACCUUGAGGUCCAGUUCAACUGGUACGUGGAUGGCAAAGAGGUGGACACAGCCAAGACCAGCCUGGAGGAGGUGCAGUACAACAAAACAUAUCGUGUGGUCAGCUCACUCCCUAUCACACACCAAGACUGGUUCCAGGGCAAAGAGUACAAGUGCAAAGUCAACAAUGGGGCCCUCCAAUCACCUGUUGAGAAGGUCAUCUCCAAGGCCAAAGGGCAGCGCCAGGAGCCACAGGUGUAUACCCUGCCCCCACACCAAGAUGAGCUGACCAAGGACAAGGUCAGCAUCGUAUGCCUGGUGAAGGGAUUCUACCCAUCUGACAUUGAUGUUAUGUGGCAGAGGAACCAGGAGCCAGAGCCUGAGAACAGCUACGCAAACACUGAAGUCCAGCAAGAGGCGGAUGGGACCUUCUUUGUGUACAGCAAGCUCACAGUGCCCAAGGAUAGCUGGCAGCAAGGAACCACCUACUCCUGCAUGGUGUGGCACGAGGCACUGGACAACCGCCACAUCCAGAAGGCCAUCUCCCUGUCUCCUGAGCUGCACCUGGAUGAGAGCUGUGCGGAGGCUCAGGAUGGGGAGCUGGACGGGCUGUGGACCACCAUCUCCAUCUUCAUCACGCUCUUCCUGCUCAGCGUGUGCUACAGCGCCACCAUCACUCUCUUCAAGGUGAAGUGGAUCUUCUCCUCCGUGGUGGAGCUGAAGCGGAACAUCGUCCCCGACUACAGGAAUAUGAUUGGGCAGGCUGCCUAGGGGCUGCUGACAGAGGAACACAUAGAAGCCGAACCCAGCACAGGCUUCAGUGGCUCCACCCUCCACCCAAGCUCCACCUUGCCCUCUGACCUCACCGCUCCUGACCACUUACAGCCCUCUGACCAUGCUGUCUCAUUCCCUCCUGUCAGGGAACCUGGUGGACAGCAGGUUCCCCCCAGACCCAACAGCCUGGAUGCCCCCCUACCCUAUACCUAAAUACCAUUUACAGUAGCACAGGGAGGGCCAGUGGGGUCAUCACACUGGGAGACCCUCAGAGUCAGCUGUGCAUGUCAUUCUGCAGGAGGGGAUGGGCCGGUAUUCCCCAUAUUCAUUUGGAGGAGGAACCUGAGUUCAAGCCUCACCCCAGGCCUGGUUCUGAGAGACACCAUAUCUCAAAGGUCCUUGAGGUGACAUCACAUGCCAAGACAGGGUAGCCACUGACCAUCAUCCCCAGCAGGGAUGCUCCCUGGAAGUGCUGCAACCUUCACUGAAUGGCCCUUCCUCCAACCCUCACCUAGCCAGUUCCACCCUGGGAGACUGCUGGGAUUCCCCCACCACUUCUGUGGCCCCUGGCCUGAGGAAUAGGCUCCUUUUCAUUUUGAACUGGAGAGUUGGUCUCUGGCUCUUGGGAAAGGGCCUUCCAUCCAAUCCUGGACUCCCACGCAGUGCUCUUAGACGUACGGUUCAACCCAACGGACAGAAGCUCCCAGCCUCUGCCUGCAGGGGGGCCAGUCAAAGGCUUUGACCCAGGAUACCCACCAUCUCCCAGCCACCAACCGAGUUCCAGCUCAAGGCCCAGCCUCGCUGCCACCCAGAAGACCACCUGAGAAGGCCUGGGCCAUACCCAUGGACACUGAAGGGCCUGAGGGGUGCAAGGGCAGGACCUCUGGGUGAGGGUGUGGGCCUAUGUGCCAAUCAGGAAGGGCAUCAGGUCUGAGGGGCAAGUGGCCGGAAAACCUCCUGGAAAGAGGCCUGGUGACCAGUGCCCCAAGUGGGCAGGAUGUGCCAUUGGAGGCCACAUCCAUGAGCCCCGGGACAGAGUUGGCCGAAGGCAAAGAGAGUGGAAGUGAGGAGAAUGACUAGAUGCUGAAUGGGCAUCUGGUGAACAAGAGUCUGAUGGGGAGUCGGGCCAGCCCGGCCACAGGCACUGCACAGAGGUCCUGGGGCCAAGCAUUCCCAGCCCUCUGGGUUCCCUGUCUCCCAUCUUCCCUUCGAGCAAAUAUCCAGUAGAGUCACACCACAAAGGAACCAGAGUGCUGACCCCACAUCUUAAGGUGGGAAGAAGAAUGACACAAAUGGAAGCAAACAACACCAAAAAAAUGCCACAUCCAUCAGCUUUGUAGCUUCUUACCUCUUUUUAAUUUUCUGAAUUCCCUUGAUUUUCUUUCAUGUAAAUGUUUCUUUUUUAUUUUUCCGUUACAAUAAAAUGGCCUUAAACCAUAUGAUUUAUCAUGCUGGUAGUCUUUCUACCGUGCUGCCAUUUGAGCUCUUCAAGUACCAGCCCCAGCAGUGAGAUUGCCCAAGCCAUGGGUCCCAGAGCACCCUGCACACACUCAGAUCCCGGCACUGGCCAGGGUCCCUUGGGUGUCCCCAGCAUCAGUGUCCUUUCUUCUCCAGCACACUUCCACCUCGCAGGUAGAGAGAGAGCAGAUGUGCCUCCCACUUGCCCUGUGAUGUAGACAGGACAAAAGGACCUGAGGACAGCCUCUACCCUCACUGUAGGGACUGUGGCCAGCAUUGUGUGGGAAAAGGCCCCAGCUGAUGUCCAUGGUUCCACGUGGUUCAGAAUAGCAGGCCAGGAGUAGUGAUCUCG